GACGAACGCUGGCGGCGUGCUUAACACAUGCCAGUCGAACGGAAAGGCCCUGCUUUUGUGGGGUGCUCGAGUGGCGAACGGGUGAGUAACACGUGAGUAACCUGCCCUUGACUUUGGGAUAACUUCAGGAAACUGGGGCUAAUACCGGAUAGGCGCUCCUGCUGCAUGGUGGGGGUUGGAAAGUUUCGGCGGUUGGGGAUGGACUCGGGGCUUAUCAGGUUGUUGGGUGGGUAGUGGGUUACCAAGGCUUUGACGGGUAGGCGGCCUGGGGAGGGGACCGGGCACAAUGGGACUGAGGGAGGGCCCAGAGGGCAACGGGGGGCAACAGGGGGGAAUAUUGCACAAUGGGGCGGAGCCCAGAACGACGACCCCCGGGUCGGGAAGAGCGCCUGUGGGGUAGAAAACGCCUUCGCCUAAUACAGAAGGGUAAUGACGGUAAUGGGUAAAGAAGCACCGGCUAACUACGUG
rnacentral:rRNA from 1 species